rnacentral:rRNA from 1 species
AGAGUUUGAUCAUGGCUCAGAUUGAACGCUGGCGGCAGGCCUAACACAUGCAAGUCGAGCGGUAGCACAGAGAGCUUGCUCUCGGGUGACGAGCGGCGGACGGGUGAGUAAUGUCUGGGAAACUGCCUGAUGGAGGGGGAUAACUACUGGAAACGGUAGCUAAUACCGCAUAAUGUCGCAAGACCAAAGUGGGGGACCUUCGGGCCUCAUGCCAUCAGAUGUGCCCAGAUGGGAUUAGCUAGUAGGUGGGGUAACGGCUCACCUAGGCGACGAUCCCUAGCUGGUCUGAGAGGAUGACCAGCCACACUGGAACUGAGACACGGUCCAGACUCCUACUGGAGGCAGCAGUGGGGAAUAUUGCACAAUGGGCGCAAGCCUGAUGCAGCCAUGCCGCGUGUGUGAAGAAGGCCUUCGGGUUGUAAAGCACUUUCAGCGGGGAGGAAGGCGAUAAGGUUAAUAACCUUGUCGAUUGACGUUACCCGCAGAAGAAGCACCGGCUAACUCCGUGCCAGCAGCCGCGGUAAUACGGAGGGUGCAAGCGUUAAUCGGAAUUACUGGGCGUAAAGCGCACGCAGGCGGUCUGUCAAGUCGGAUGUGAAAUCCCCGGGCUUAACCUGGGAACUGCAUUCGAAACUGGCAGGCUAGAGUCUUGUAGAGGGGGGUAGAAUUCCAGGUGUAGCGGUGAAAUGCGUAGAGAUCUGGAGGAAUACCGGUGGCGAAGGCGGCCCCCUGGACAAAGACUGACGCUCAGGUGCGAAAGCGUGGGGAGCAAACAGGAUUAGAUACCCUGGUAGUCCACGCCGUAAACGAUGUCGAUUUGGAGGUUGUGCCCUUGAGGCGUGGCUUCCGGAGCUAACGCGUUAAAUCGACCGCCUGGGGAGUACGGCCGCAAGGUUAAAACUCAAAUGAAUUGACGGGGGCCCGCACAAGCGGUGGAGCAUGUGGUUUAAUUCGAUGCAACGCGAAGAACCUUACCUGGUCUUGACAUCCACAGAACUUUCCAGAGAUGGAUUGGUGCCUUCGGGAACUGUGAGACAGGUGCUGCAUGGCUGUCGUCAGCUCGUGUUGUGAAAUGUUGGGUUAAGUCCCGCAACGAGCGCAACCCUUAUCCUUUGUUGCCAGCGGUUCGGCCGGGAACUCAAAGGAGACUGCCAGUGAUAAACUGGAGGAAGGUGGGGAUGACGUCAAGUCAUCAUGGCCCUUACGACCAGGGCUACACACGUGCUACAAUGGCAUAUACAAAGAGAAGCGACCUCGCGAGAGCAAGCGGACCUCAUAAAGUAUGUCGUAGUCCGGAUUGGAGUCUGCAACUCGACUCCAUGAAGUCGGAAUCGCUAGUAAUCGUAGAUCAGAAUGCUACGGUGAAUACGUUCCCGGGCCUUGUACACACCGCCCGUCACACCAUGGGAGUGGGUUGCAAAAGAAGUAGGUAGCUUAACCUUCGGGAGGGCGCUUACCACUUUGUGAUUCAUGACUGGGGUGAAGUCGUAACAAGGUAACCGUAGGGGAACCUGCGGUUGGAUCACCU